UACGAAGGGUGCAAGCGUUACUCGGAAUUACUGGGCGUAAAGCGUGCGUAGGUGGUUUGUUAAGUCUGUUGUGAAAGCCCCGGGCUCAACCUGGGAAUGGCAAUGGAUACUGGCAAGCUAGAGUGCGGUAGAGGGUAGUGGAAUUCCCGGUGUAGCGGUGAAAUGCGUAGAGAUCGGGAGGAACACCGGUGGCGAAGGCGGGUCUCUGGGCAUUUCCUGACGCUGAGGCGCGAAAGCGUGGGGAGCAAACGGG
rnacentral:rRNA from 1 species